rnacentral:misc_RNA from 1 species
AAAAAAAACAAACUUUAGCCAUGACAAAGGAGGAAAUUGCCACUACAAAUGUGAACAUCUUGAAAAAAUCAAAUGUGAAGCCACAAAAACCACUAGGGAAAAAAGAAUGUCAAUUAGUAACAUUUGAUUUACCUUACUUAGCUUUUUAUUAUAACCAAAAGUUGAUGGUUUACAAGUUAGGGGCUGAAAGCUUUGAGGAAACAGUAGAAAAAUUGAAAGAUGGUUUGGCUUUAGUGUUGGAAGAUUUUUAUCAACUUGCUGGAAAAUUGGGAAAAGAUGAUGAAGGAGUAUUUAAGGUGGAAUAUGAUGAUGAUAUGGAUGGAGUUGAGGUAAUUGUGGAUGAGGCUCAAGAAAUUCAAGUUGCUAAUCUUACUGAUCAUCAUGAAGGGAUCAAUAAAUUCCAAGAUUUGAUACCUUAUAACAAAAUCUUGAAUUUAGAAGGGCUUCAUAGGCCUCUACUCGCCGUACAGCUCACCAAGCUUAAAGACGGGCUGGCAAUGGGAUUAGCAUUUAAUCAUGCUGUGCUGGACGGUACUUCCACGUGGCACUUCAUGACUUCCUGGGCCCAGCUUUGUAGUGGGGCCACCUCCAUCUCGGUCCCACCUUUCCUCGAAAGAACUAAAGCUCGUGACACUCGAGUCAAACUCAACCUAUCUAAGCCAUCCGACGCGCCGGAACAUGCCAAGUCGGAAACGAACGGCGACGUUAGCGCCAGCGUGGAUCCACCUAUGCGUGACAGGGUGUUCAAGUUUUCCGAAUCAGCAAUUGAUCAAAUCAAGUCAAAAGUCAAUACUAACCCAGGAGAAGGCGCAAAUAAUACGACGCCGUUCUCUACUUUCCAAUCCCUCUCCGCGCACGUGUGGCUAGCUGUCACGCGUGCGAGGCAGCUCAAACCGGAGGAAUACACGGUUUACACCGUGUUCGCUGAUUGCCGUAAAAGAGUCGAUCCGCCGAUGCCGGAGAGUUACUUCGGAAACCUAAUUCAGGCGAUUUUCACUGUAACGGCGGCGGGAUUGCUGCUAUCGAAUCCGAUUGAGUUUGCGGCAGGGAUGAUUCAGCAAGCCAUAGCGAAGCACGAUGCGAAGGCGAUUGAAGAAAGGAACAAGGAAUGGGAGAGUAGUCCGAAGAUAUUUGCGUACAAAGAUGCCGGAGUGAACUGUGUGGCGGUGGGGAGUUCGCCGAGGUUUAAGGUGUAUGAGGUUGAUUUUGGAUGGGGAAAAGCGGAGAUCGUGAGGAGUGGGUUGAACAAUAGAUUUGACGGGAUGGUGUAUUUGUAUCCAGAGAAAAAUGGAGGAAGAGGAAUUGAUGUGGAGAUUAGCUUGGAAGCAAAUGCCAUGGAGAGGUUGGAGAAGGA